rnacentral:tRNA from 1 species
GCCUGGGUAGCUCAUUGGUAGAGCGCGGCCCUGAAGAGGCCGGCGUAGGUGGUUCGAUUCCGCCCCCAGGCACCA